CAAGAGCUUGCCCAGAAGAGCCCCAGUACAUUUCUACUUACAUCUCACUGGCCAGAACUGUCAUAUAGAUGCAAGAAAGGCUAGGAAACCUUUAACUAGAACACAAAUGCCCUACCUGCACGUUAUUUGCGAAGACACCUCGAUGUGUUCUAAGACCCUGUCGUCACCACGUGGCCACUAUGAGCAAAAUAUCUGUCUACCUCCAGGUUAUUGCCUAAUUCUCUUCUACCAGAAAGAACAAAUCAGUAAAGGGAUCUACCUUGGUUGGUUAUAAAAACUUCUACAAUAAAAACCACAUCCCUCAAAACA